rnacentral:rRNA from 1 species
CCUACGGGAGGCAGCAGUGAGGAAUAUUGGACAAUGGGCGCAAGCCUGAUCCAGCCAUGCCGCGUGCAGGAAGACUGCCCUAUGGGUUGUAAACUGCUUUUAUACAGGAAGAAACACUCCCUCGUGAGGGAGCUUGACGGUACUGUAAGAAUAAGGAUCGGCUAACUCCGUGCCAGCAGCCGCGGUAAU